AAGACCUUGUGCUUUUGGAGCGGCCGAUGCCUGAUUAGCUAGUUGGUAGGGUAAAGGCCUACCAAGGCUACGAUCAGUAGUUGGUCUGAGAGGACGACCAGCCACACUGGGACUGAGACACGGCCCAGACUCCUACGGGAGGCAGCAGUGGGGAAUUUUGGACAAUGGGCGAAAGCCUGAUCCAGCAAUGCCGCGUGAGUGAAGAAGGCCUUCGGGUUGUAAGGCUCUUUCAGUCGAGAAGAAAAAGUUGUGACUAAUAAUCACAAUUUAUGACGGUACCGACAGAAGAAGCACCGGCUAACUACGUGCCAGCAGCCGCGGUAAUACGUAGGGUGCAAGCGUUAAUCGGAAUUACUGGGCGUAAAGGGUGCGCAGGCGGCUCUGUAAGUCAGAUGUGAAAUCCCCGGGCUUAACCUGGGAAUU
rnacentral:rRNA from 1 species